GUGAGGAAUAUUGGGCAAUGCCCGAAAGGGUGACCCAGCAACGCCGCGUGGAGGAUGAAGGUCGUAAGAUUGUAAACUCCUGUUGGAGGGGACGAAUAGUCUCGAUUUAUCGGGAUUUGACUGUACCCUCAGAGGAAGCCCCGGCUAACUACGUGCCAGCAGCCGCGGUAAUACGUAGGGGGCUAGCGUUGUCCGGAUUUACUGGGUGUAAAGGGCGCGUAGGCGGAUUAAUAAGUCAGAGGUGAAAUCCUACAGCUUAACUGUAGAACUGCCUUUGAAACUAUUAGUCUUGAGUGCGGAAGAGAGAAGCAGAAUUCCAGGUGUAGUGGUGAAAUACGUAGAUAUCUGGAAGAAUACCAGUUGCGAAGGCGGCUUCUUGGUCCGUUACUGACGCUCAGGCGCGAAAGCGUGGGUAGCAAACAGGAUUAGAAACCCGUGUAGUCC
rnacentral:rRNA from 1 species